GGGCGAAAGCCUGACGGAGCAAUACCGCGUGAGGGAGGAAGGUCUAAUAGAUUGUAAACCUCUUUUGUCAGGGAAGAAAAAAAUGACGGUACCUGAUGAAUAAGCAUCGGCUAACUCCGUGCCAGCAGCCGCGGUAAUACGGAGGAUGCAAGCGUUAUCCGGAAUUAUUGGGCGUAAAGCGUCCGCAGGUGGUCAAACAAGUCUGCCGUCAAAGACCAGAGCUUAACUCUGGGAAGGCGGUGGAAACUGUAAGACUAGAGACCGGUAGGGGUAGAGGGAAUUCCCAGUGUAGCGGUGAAAUGCGUAGAGAUUGGGAAGAACACCAGUGGCGAAGGCGCUCUACUGGGCCGGUACUG
rnacentral:rRNA from 1 species